rnacentral:lncRNA from 1 species
UGCCAAUCUAACUGAAUCAAUCAUUAUCCCGUUGAUGAUCCGUCGAUUAGAAGUAAUUUAGAAAUUAAUCACAUAUGUCUCAAAUUUUCAACUCUUGAGAAUAUGUAUCUUUAAGUUAUUAAUUUCUUGGAUGAUUCAAAUAUACAUUACAUAAGAAUGAAAAUAAAAUUAUCCAUUUUAUUGAUAAAUUAAUAUUUUUAG